ACUCGAUCCUUUCUGGACCAAGAUCAAACAGAAUUCCUUGACACGGAGGAGGAGAGGGGAAGGGCUUACAUUUUCAUCGUAAUCAAUCGCUGAUGAGCUCGCCGUCAGUAAUGACGGCCGACGUGUGCGGAAGUGUUGGAUGGAAAAUGUUUGGAUAAUCGCCGCUUAAUUGGAAACACGAUAACCUUCGAGAUAUUAGGUUCGUUUGCGGGAUCUGGGCCCCGAAUCAGGGAGAAGGUCUAACGGGUAGUAAAUUACUCAUUGGCCGCGAACCUUCGUUUUCGACCAGGUUUCUUUUUGGAACGAGGAUAAUUUCUUUCGAAACGAGAAAAGGAUUGAUUUAAUUUGGAUACUCGAUCUCUGAUCGGCGGAGGAACUGGAUGGACGAUGGAAUUGAUUUGCAAAAGAGAAGAGGAUAAAUUGUGUGGUAAAUUGUGUGUGAAGUUGAAUUUAUUUUUUUUAUGCAACAUUUUGAAAUAAAAAAGGAUCGUCAAUAGAUAAUGAGAAGGUAAAAUAAAAUAAAUAAGUUAAACGAUAAAUUUGGAUUUAUCGGUGUUGGGCCAUUUUUAUUAACCCAACCCACUUUGUAACUUCAACAAUUGACAAUUUGAUCGAUGACACUGUCGUUAAUUAUUAUCUGCCUAUCUAAAAUAUCUUUUAAAAAUCACCAACAGGAAUCCAAAUAUACAAAUUUAAAAUUGCACAAGUUUCACCUGCUGAUCAUUUUACGAACUAUUCCACUUCUUGGCAAUGUUAUCAACAAUAUCUGCGUAAAUUAUAAUGAACUGACGUUCGUAGCUGCCAAAAUAUUCGAAGAAAUUACAGUGCAACAACAAGGGGUACGUAAUAUAAAGAAGAGGUCUCAAGUUUCAGACUUGAAGCGCAGACAGGAGGAAGCCUGUUUUUCGAAGCAAUCGAAUCACCAAUGAACCGUAACCACCAUCCCUCUCCCUCUCCCCCAGAAUAGACUAUUUUAAUUCAAUAUCCGUUAACUUCACAGUCGACUUAUUUUCACUAGUGUCGUAA